UAGGGAAUAUUAGUAAUGGGCGAAAGCCUGAAUUAGCAACGCCGCGUGUGCGAAGAAGGCCUUCCGGUUGUAAAGCACUUUUUGAGAGGAUGGGGAAGGACGGUAUUCUUAGAAUCAGUCUCGGCUAACUACGUCCGAGCAGCCGCGGUCACACGUAGGAGGCGAACGUUCUCCGGUUUUACUGGGCGUAAAGCGGGUGUAGGUGGUUUGGUAAGUAGGGCGGG
rnacentral:rRNA from 1 species